UUUUCUUUCUCCCACCAAAGCCAAGCCAAAAUCUCACCAAAUCAACUUCUUCCUUUAACCAAAAUUCAUCCUAAGACCAAGAGCUAAAGGAACAGCCAUAUAUUGAAGAGAUUGAAGAAGAAAAGUUUAGGGUUCCAUAUACACCAAGCUUGAAAAAUCAAAGGUAAGCUUAGAAAGGUGUAGGAAAUAACAUCUACUCAUUUCUUCAUGCAUGAAUUUGAAUUAUAAAGCUUUAAUUUAUAGUUUAUUCAAUCCUUUCCUAAGACAUAAAUCUACCUAGGUGAAGGAACAUCAAAGGGAAAGGAGAUAGCAAGAGAUUAGAAGAGGAAAAGAAAAGAAGAGAUUCAAGAAAGGUUUGGUGUUUACUUGAUUUUCUGUUUUCCUUUGAUUCUGCCAUGAAUAAGUGAAAUUAGGGGUUGAUUUUACUUGCUGGAAAUGUUGCUUUGAUUGUAUAAAUAUGUUAUAUGAAUGUUAAAAUGAUGUUUGAAAGGCUUAGAGUAAAGAAAUUUGACAUGAGAGCUAAAAGUGCAAAUCUAGCAGAAUAGGUUGUAACAGGGCAGUGUGUGUUAACAACUUUAUAACUUAUUGUGUAGAUAUUGAAAUUAGGCCUAAGAUAUACCAAAUGAAAGCUAAGACAAAGAGCUAAAACUUUUAUGAAUUGACCAAAUUCUGAAUCUGUAGGUAGGAUGAUGAAAAUUGCAAGUGAACCUAAACUGGACACAGUGGUAGUGCAUCCGGAACAGAGUCUAUUGAUUAUACCAUAACUAAUUAUGUACUCAGUGAAAUUUGUUAAUACCAGUUCCAAAUGAAUCCUAAGAAGUAUACCUAAAACUUUGUAGAAGACACUUAAGCUUGAAUUUGUAUGGACUUACAUGAAUCUGAUAAGUUUUGUAAUACUAUAAACAAGUACCAAUACUGGACUGAUUAAGACCUUAUUGAGCAGCUUAUAAAGAAAAAUUCAUAACUUAUGCUAGGAUGAUCAGAUUUUCAUGAAAAAUACCUUGUUGGAAAGAUAAGACAUAAAUGUACAUUUCUUAUGAGAAACUGAAGUCAAAUUGUGACUCUAAAUUGCUUGAACAGUUUAUGCAAUAUAUGGCAGAAUGUAGUUUUCUAUAUUGAAAUGUUAAGUCAAUAAAGUUUUGCACUAUUUGCCAUGAGUUUUCCCAUAUUGUAAACCUUGGCAUAUGAUAUAUGUACUUUGGAAAAUGACUUCAAAUAGUUUCACAUGACAUGCAUUUACAUUGAUACAUUGAAUUAAUGAUACUUGGCCCUGGUAAACGUAAUAGGAGUCGAGGUUAGCUUAAGGGUAUGGCAUGCCAUAUAAAUAUACAGAGUUCGCAGUACUGCUACCGAUACAUGAUCUAUAUUUGAGGUUACAUAUCUGGUACCUCAUAAGCAUAGCCACAGAGCCCUGCUAUCACAGUUUUGGCCUCUGAGCCUACCGUUCGGCACCCUGUGCCUACCGUUAUAACUCCUUAUCUACCUAGUCGAUCCUACUAUGUGUUUAUAAGGGCUAAGAUCUUAAUAAAGAUUGAUACUUGAUCUUGUGAACUUAUUGGUGAAUGUUAACAUGUUUGCAUCUACUAGCUUGUAAUGGUUUACCUGAUUAUCUGCAUCCAUGAACUUGUUUGCUCUAUUAUGUUAUUUGUUUGCUAUCACCCACUGAGCAUUAGCUCAGCGUGUUGGUUUUUACCUCACGCAGGUUGUAGAUAAAGUAGGCACGCGAAGUUCAUCAGAGGUCUACAUCAGAUACCAAGACCAUCAUCAUAGCUGGUUGUUUUGAGUCUCUGAGUCAUAGUAUAGUUUUAUUUUGGCAUGUACAUAUUAAAUAGAGUGAGUUGUGAAGGUUAUGUAAAUCAAAGAAUAGUAA
rnacentral:lncRNA from 1 species